UACACAGAUUAAAUGUAAGUGAAGAAAAAGGCGAGAAAAUUUUAUUUAAAUCGCAGCGUCUGCUAAAGAACCAGAAUCAGGAUAGCUGCUUUUCCAAGAGCAGGAGGAAACCAGAGCAGUUGUGUUCGAAAAUCCCCCUGUGAGGACAGCGCUCCAAGAAUAAGCAUGCAAGUUGUGCCUAUACUGAAGAUACUGAAGAUAAAAAUAUACGUAAGGAAAAGGGUAA